rnacentral:rRNA from 1 species
AUUGAACGCUGGCGGCAGGCCUAACACAUGCAAGUCGAACGAGUGGCGGACGGGUGAGUAAUGUCUGGGAAACUGCCCGAUGGAGGGGGAUAACUACUGGAAACGGUAGCUAAUACCGCAUACCAUCGGAUGUGCCCAGAUGGGAUUAGCUAGUAGGUGGGGUAACGGCUCACCUAGGCGACGAUCCCUAGCUGGUCUGGGAGGAUGACCAGCCACACUGGAACUGAGGCACGGUCCAGAGUCCUUGGGGAGGCAGCAGUGGGGAAUAUUGCACAAUUGGCGCAAGCCGAAUGCAGCCAUGCCGCGUGUAUGAAGAAGGCCUUCGGGUUUUAAAGUACUUGCAGCGGGGAGGCGUUACCCGCAGAAGAAGCACCGGCGAACUCCGUGCCAGCAGCCGCGGUAAUAC